rnacentral:misc_RNA from 1 species
UCGCACUGCGGCAAGAGCGUCACUCGUCUGCGAACAAGUGACCCAAGAAACUCUUCAGGCUCCCCUGAAUUCUUUCUGCCCACCUAUCUUAGAAAUGUUAAAAGUGCUUCGACUGGCAACAGGAGAAAUACUUGUCAGAAUGCGAGGCGUGCAAGCCUCACGUGCCCUGUAGUAUCCGUAUUCUCCUGUGCUCGAAAAGAAUCCGACUUAACAAGUGGCUAUGGAAAGAAAUAUAAUAAUAUGGACUAGCCAGCUUAUCUACAUAGCAAUGAUCUGCGUCUUACUUCUAACAGCAUGUAAUUCUCACGAACGAUCAACAGAAGGCAGCAUAGUCUGGCAGUUUGAGUCAUGGAAAAAAUGGGCCACAACUGAAGAACUGGAAAUAUCUAUAGCCGAUAGCUUUCAUCCUCAUUUCUAUGAAAAACAAAAAAAUGUCACUGCACAGCAAGGACAAACUGUUUAUCUUCACUGCAUUGUGAAAAAUCUCGGAGAUAGGACGGUCUCGUGGAUUAGAAGGCGUGACUUUCAUGUGCUCACCGUGGGGGAAACUACUUACACAGCAGAAGGAAGAUUCGAGGUCGUCCAUCUGCCACGUAGUAAUAAUUGGAUUCUGAAAAUUAAAUUAGUCGAGAUUGCUGAUGGGGGAGACUAUGAAUGCCAGGUUAACACGCACCCUCUCAUGAGCUACUUCGUCUAUUUAACAGUCCUUGUGCCUGUGGCUUCUAUCCUGGGGGAAAAGGACUUGCUUGUAAGCAGCGGAAGUUAUAUCAACCUCACGUGCAUUAUCAGACAUAGUCCCUCACCCCCAAUGUUCGUGUUCUGGUAUCACAACGACCGCAUGAUUAAUUACGACUCAUCUCGCGGGAAAAUUACUCUAAAGAAGAAGGAAAACACCGCCCUGAGCACCCUCUAUAUUAAGAACGCCAAGGCAUUGAACUCUGGAAACUACACAUGCGGUCCUUCGAACGCUGAUGCAACCAGCGUUACUGUGCAUGUGGUCAACGGCGAGAAACCAGCAGCAAUGCAGCACGAUUCUGAGACAACGUCAGCAAGUAUUAGCUUCACGAGCUUUACAUCCUUUCUAUAUUUUGGUGGUACUUUGUUUAUUGUUGUCCUUUCAUCUUGACCUCUACUUCUAAAUCUUUUAUCACUCACAGUGCCUGUUCCGUCCGAAAAAAAACUCCAAACUGCUCCUGGUGAACGAGGAUCUUUGUACUAUCCAAAGUGAACUACUGAUGAUCUAUGCUAACAAUUCGAAUCGUCGCUGUCUCCAAACUACGGCAGUUUCAUGAAGCUCCUUAUACUAUCUGAAGUAAAUUACUGAUGAUUUGUGUUAACAGUUCGAAAAGAUGUCGCUAAGCUUCCCCUUGUGGGCGAAGGUGGAAACACGAUCCAAAAUGAAAUAAUUGAGAAUCAAGCCAAACUCUACCAAUUUAACAAUUGAGCGAAUAGCUUAUAAAAUAACAAGUUUUAUAAGUAAAAGUGACAUAUUAGAAUGUUCUAACAAACACACAUACAAUGACGUAAGAUAUUUAUAUGUCUGUGUGGGAUGACUUAGAAUAGUGGCAAAGUGAAAAAAGAAAAUACAUCCUAGUCACUUUGGGCAAGAAAACAGACUAUAACUGUUUAGUAGGGCUGGUGAUAUUUUAAUAUGUUGUUAAUCCUCUCUCUUUCUCUACCCUAAAACCAAUUGAUGUAAUCAUAUUGAUGAUCUGUGAUCGAAGCUUCUGUAUGUAUAACUUCAAUUCGUAAAACAUAUAAUCUUUCCAUGCACUUAUUAUCAUUAAUAAUAAACUAUAUUUAAUGACUCUGAGUAAGAGUAUUUUUUGUUAUCUGUAAAGAAAAAUGACUUAACGU